UACAGAGGGUGCGAGCGUUAAUCGGAUUUACUGGGCGUAAAGCGUGUGUAGGUGGCUUCCUAAGUCGGUUGUGAAAUCCCCGGGCUUAACCUGGGAAUGGCAUUUGGGACUGCAAGGCUUGAGUGCGGCAGAGGAGACUGGAAUUCCCGGUGUAGCAGUGAAAUGCGUAGAUAUCGGGAGGAAUACCGAUGGCGAAGGCAGGUCUCUGGGCUGACACUGACGCUCAUGCACGAAAGCGUGGGGAGCAAACAGG
rnacentral:rRNA from 1 species